CCAGACUCCUACGGGAGGCAGCAGUGGGGAAUAUUGCACAAUGGGGGAAACCCUGAUGCAGCGACGCCGCGUGGGUGAAGAAGUAUUUCGGUAUGUAAAGCUCUAUCAGCAGGGAGGAAAAUGACGGUACCUGACUAAGAAGCCCCGGCUAACUACGUGCCAGCAGCCGCGGUAAUACGUAGGGGGCAAGCGUUAUCCGGAUUUACUGGGUGUAAAGGGAGCGUAGACGGCGAUGCAAGCCAGAUGUGAAAGCCCGGGGCUCAACCCCGGGACUGCAUUGGGAACUGUGGGGCUGGAGUGUCGGAGAGGCAGGCGGAAUUCGUAGUGUAGCGGUGAAAUGCGUAGAUAUUAGGAGGAACACCGGUGGCGAAGGCGGCCUGCUGGA
rnacentral:rRNA from 1 species